UACGUAGGUGGCAAGCGAUACUCGGAAUCACUAGGCGUAAAGCGCAGGUAGGCGGCUCGGCAAGUCUUUUGUGAAAGCUCCCGGCUCAACUGGGAGAGGUCAAGGGAAACUGCCGGGCUAGAGUGUGGUAGGGGAUACUGGAAUUCCUGGUGUAGCGGUGAAAUGCGUAGAUAUCAGGAGGAAUACCUAUGGCGAAAGCAGGUAUCUGGGCCAUCACUGACGCUGAGCUGCGAAAGCUAGGGGAGCAAACAGG
rnacentral:rRNA from 1 species